AGCAGCCGCCACGGGAAUACGUAGGUGGCAAGCGUUGUCCGGAUUUAUUGGGCGUAAAGCGAGCGCAGGCGGUCAAUUAAGUCUGAUGUGAAAGCCCCCGGCUCAACCGGGGAGGGUCAUUGGAAACUGGUUGACUUGAUUGCAGAAGAGGAGAGUGGAAUUCCAUGUGUAGCGGUGAAAUGCGUAGAUAUAUGGAGGAACACCAGUGGCGAAGGCGACUCUCUGGUCUGUAACUGACGCUGAGGCUCGAAAGCGUGGGUAGCAAACAGGAUUAGAUACCCGAGUAGUCCCUGUCUCUUAUAC
rnacentral:rRNA from 1 species